rnacentral:snRNA from 1 species
AUACUUACCUGGCGCGGGGAUACCGUGAUCAAGAAGGCGGUGCCUCCAGGACGAGGCCUGUACAUUGCACUCCGUAUGGGCUGACUCCUGCGACUACCCCAAAUCCGGGUGGCUCGAGCGCAUAAUUUUUGGUAGUGGGGACAAGCGUUCGCGCUGUCCCUU